CAUCGUUUACAGCGAGGACUACCAGGGGUAUCUAAUCCUGUUUGCUCCCCUAGCUUUCGUCUCUGAGUGUCAGUAAUGGBCCAGURARGUGCCUUCGCUUUUGGUGUUCUUUCMAAUMUCUACGHAUUUCACCGCUCCACUGGAAAUUCCCUUUACCUCUACCAWACUCUAGAUGAGGAGUUUCCUUUGCACAUUCBBGGUUGAGCCUAGGAGAUUUAACAAAAGACUUUCUCAUCCACCUGCACACGCUUUACGCCCAAUAAUUCCGGAUAACACUUGCNUCCCCUGUAUWACCGCGGCKGCKGGCACAGGGUUAGCCGAUGCUUAUUCCUCAAGUAACGYCAGAUCUUCCUCCUUGARAAAAGGGGUUUACAACCMACAGGCCUUCAUCCCCCACGCGGUGAUUGCUCUGUCGGGCUUUCGCCSAUUGSAGAAUAUUCCUCACUGCUGCCUCCCGUACGC
rnacentral:rRNA from 1 species